AAAGAAAUAAAAAACGGAUAUAUUAUUAAAAAAUUCACCCCCGUACAGUGUGUGCCCAUGAGGAUACACAGUAACUAUAUCAGACCAUUAUGUUUCUUUGUACUAGGCUGUAAACAUUUUCAUUUCUAAUGUAAAACCCGACAUUUUUAAGGGUGGUGUGUAUGUGACUUCCGGGGCUCCUGGAGCCAGCCUCAAGUGGACCCUCGACGAACUGCAGGAUUUUGCACUUCCGCAUUGGCUUAAAUUUUCAACCCUUGAGGUUAAGGGUAUAUCAUGUCAACAUAUCAACAUAUCAUGUUGUAAAAACCCCAGCGCCUGUCCGUACUCUAUUGUUAACUGUGUAUUUUUGGCGAGCAAACUUGAAAUGAAAGGAACUGUAACAUUUAUGUCAACCCUGCGAAAUGUUGAAAAUAAACUCACAUUUUAUA